UGGUGAGUAACACGUAAGCAACCUGCCUAUCAGAGGGGAACAACAGUUAGAAAUGACUGCUAAUACCGCAUAUGCCUUAAUUACCACAUGGUAGUAGAGGGAAAGGAGUAAUCCGCUGAUAGAUGGGCUUGCGUCUGAUUAGAUAGUUGGUAAGGUAACGGCUUACCAAGUCGACGAUCAGUAGCCGGACUGAGAGGUUGAACGGCCACAUUGGGACUGAGAUACGGCCCAGACUCCUACGGGAGGCAGCAUG
rnacentral:rRNA from 1 species